rnacentral:rRNA from 1 species
GACGAACGCUGGCGGCGUGCCUAAUACAUGCAAGUCGAGCGGACGGAUGGGAGCUUGCUCCCAGACCGUCAGCGGCGGACGGGUGAGUAACACGUGGGCAACCUGCCUGUAAGACUGGGAUAACUCCGGGAAACCGGGGCUAAUACCGGAUAACUCUUUCCCUCACAUGAGGGAAAGCUGAAAGAUGGCAUCUCGCUAUCACUUACAGAUGGGCCCGCGGCGCAUUAGCUAGUUGGUGAGGUAACGGCUCACCAAGGCGACGAUGCGUAGCCGACCUGAGAGGGUGAUCGGCCACACUGGGACUGAGACACGGCCCAGACUCCUACGGGAGGCAGCAGUAGGGAAUCUUCCGCAAUGGACGAAAGUCUGACGGAGCAACGCCGCGUGAGUGAUGAAGGUUUUCGGAUCGUAAAACUCUGUUGUCAGGGAAGAACAAGUACCGGAGUAACUGCCGGUACCUUGACGGUACCGGACCAGAAAGCCACGGCUAACUACGU